CGGAACGGGUGAGUAACACGUGAGUAACCUGCCCCCUUCUUCUGGAUAACCGCAUGAAAGUGUGGCUAAUACGGGAUAUUCGGCGCCUGCUGCAUGGUGGGUGUGGGAAAGAUAUUGUUUCGGUGGGGGAUGGGCUCGCGGCCUAUCAGCUUGUUGGUGGGGUGAUGGCCUACCAAGGCGGUGACGGGUAGCCGGCCUGAGAGGGUGGACGGUCACACUGGGACUGAGACACGGCCCAG
rnacentral:rRNA from 1 species